rnacentral:misc_RNA from 1 species
GUGAAUCAUCGAAUUUUUGAACGCAAAUUGCACUCUCUGGUAUUCCGGAGAGUAUGCCUGUUUGAGGGUCAGUUAAAUAAAAAUCGGGGUUUUUUUUCCGCUUUGCGUAGUGACGCCUCGGGUUUGGUUCUUCUUACCUUCGGUUAAUUGACCUAAAAUUUUGCAUGAUUUUCGAACGUAUUUAAAUAUUUUUCAUAUGUUUGUAAUUUCGGAUAUUAGGUUUGAUCAUUCUCAUAAUUCU